CAGAGGUCUCGAGCGUUAGUCGGAUUCAUUGGGCUUAAAGCGUACGUAGGCGGAUAUGCAGGCGUCGUGUGAAAUACCUCGGCUCAACCGAGGAAUUGCACGGCGAACCGCAUGUCUUGAGAUCGGUAGGGGCGGUCGGAACGAUAGGUGGAGUGGUGAAAUGCGUUGAUAUCUAUCGGAACGCCGAAGGUGAAAACAGGCCGCUGGGCCGAUUCUGACGCUGAGGUACGAAAGCGUGGGGAGCGAACGGGAUUAGAUACCCCGGUAGUCCACGCCGUAAACGAUGUGCACUAGAUCGAGGAGGUUCUGAUACCAUUCUCGGUCGAAGUAAAAACGUUGAGUGCACCGCCUGGGGAGUACGGUCGCAAGGCUA
rnacentral:rRNA from 1 species